rnacentral:rRNA from 1 species
AAGACCGGUGCCAGCCGCCGCGGUAACACCGGCAGCCCGAGUGGUGAUCACUAUUAUUGGGUCUAAAGGGUCCGUAGCCGGUUUAAUCAGUCUUCUGGGAAAUCUAAUCGCUUAACUAUUAGGCUUCCAGGGGAUACUGUUAGACUUUGGGACCGGGAGAGGUAAGAGGUACUGCAGGGGUAGGAGUGAAAUCUUGUAAUCCCUGUGAGACCACCAGUGGCGAAGGCGUCUUACCAGAACGGGUCCGACGGUGAGGGACGAAAGCUGGGGGCACGAACCGGAUUAGAUACCCGGGUAGUCCCAGCUGUAAACGAUGCUCGUUAGGUGUCAGGAACGGUGCGACUGUUUCUGGUGCCGAAGGGAAGCCGUGAAACGAGCCACCUGGGAAGUACGGCCGCAAGGCUGAAACUUAAAGGAAUUGGCGGGGGAGCACUACAACGGGUGGAGCCUGCGGUUUAAUUGGACUCAACGCCGGAAAACUCACCGGGGGCGACAGCAAUAUGUAGGUCAGGUUAAAGGUCUUACCUGAAUCGCUGAGAGGAGGUGCAUGGCCGUCGUCAGUUCGUACUGUGAAGCAUCCUGUUAAGUCAGGCAACGAGCAAGACCCGUGCCCACUGUUACCAGCAUAUCCUUUAUGGAUGAUGGGGACUCUGUGGGGACCGCUGCUGCUAAAGCAGAGGAAGGUGCGGGCUACGGUAGGUCAGUAUGCCCCGAAUCUCCCGGGCUACACGCGGGCUACAAUGGUUGGGACAAUGGGUAUCUACUCCGAAAGGAGUUGGCAAUCUCUUAAACCCAACUCGUAGUUCGAAUUGAGGGCUGUACUCGCCCUCAUGAAGCUGGAAUCCGUAGUAAUCGCGUUUCAACAUAGCGCG